rnacentral:lncRNA from 1 species
GGUAUUAAAUUAUUUGUGUCCUUAAGCCCAAUCAAUAGUAGACUUGAGUUUUUAUUUUUGUAUUAAGGUCCAUAAUAGUGCUGCAGCGUGAAAGAGAGAGAAUAUUGCAAUCUGACAGAAUCAAAUCUCCUUUCUGCCACCAGCGUCUUUUCAUCUCCCAAGAAAUCUUUUAUCCCCAAAUCCAAAUCUGCUCAGAAAAUAUUCUUUUCUCUACCGAUGCAGCAUCUGUUCUUCACCCUUUCACUCCUUUAAAACUCCCUUUCAAGAACAUUCCCGGUCCUUUUCCAUCUCCAAUCUGCAAAAUCUGCCACUUAAAAUACUUUCAACCUCAAGAGUUCAAGACACCCAUCAAGCUUAUCAAGCCAAAUAAGCAAUACUACAGCACAUUCAUCAAAACCAAACUGAACAAGGUUCGAUCUCUCCCUUCAACUUUAUACCACAGCAUGUAUUUCCUCUACAACUAGAUUUACAAUCUCACACAUUGACAUGAACUUGAACAGCAUACUUUUCAUUCAUAACUUGUAAGGAUUUUUAGUAAAACACAAUCUCUGCUAAAAUAAGACUAUUAAAAUCUGUACUACAACAAAGCAACUAUAUCAAGAACAGUACCAACGAACACCAAACUUGACGCCUUUCCUGCUUCCUUUCUCGUGAACCAAUUCCCAUUAUUCUUCAAGAACAUACCUUGUUUAACUCUGCAAGUUCGAUCUUCCUUUCCUUCUUCCUCUUGGGCUGGGAUGUGGGAGUCUUGGUCUGGAAUGUGGGAGUCGAGGGAAGAAGAGGGUCUUCUGCCCGGUGAUGAGGACGGCGGCGGCACGGCGAAUUUCAGAACGCCGUUGCUCGGCCGGCCGCGAGGAAGAAAGGGGAGUCGGCUGGCAGCAGGACUGCUGUGGUAGAGUCGCUGCCUAGGUGGCUGACCACCACACGCAGAGGGAGAAGUGAUGGAGCGGGCUGGGCCGUGAGAGGGAGCGCUGGAGGAUGGCGGCGGCGCGGCCGGAGGCCAGGCGCGCUGCCCGCUGUGAAAACAGCAGCGGCGGCGGCAACCUUCCUCGGCCGUCCGCUGCAGAUGACGCAAGGGAGAAGAGGGUGGGGAGCGCGAGGUGGCUGGUGGCUGACGGCGAGGCCAGGGCGGCGCGGCCUAAGGCCGAGCGCCGCUGACGCGGCGGAAAUGGAGCAGCAUCGGCGGCGGCCCUCCUUGACCGUCUGCUAUCGGGAGCGAGAGAAGGAAGGCGAUGAGAGGGAGGCCCCGGAUCCGGCGAUUUCGCCGGAGCUGGAGGCGGCCGGCGUGGAGCUCGGGAGGGAAGGCGGAGGUUCUGGAGAAAAGGGGGGCGAGGCGAGAGAGGGAGAGAGAAGCGUGAGUAGAGAGAGAGGAAGAUUGACUUGUUUUAUUUUAAUUACCUUUAGGUUUAUUUAAGCUUUGUUUGGGCCUCAUUUCAUAAUAAUUUGAUGGGCUUUUUCUUUGACAUGGGCCGAUUCUUAAUAGAGUACCGGGCCGAUUUUAAUAUUUAAAUGGGCUACACAUUUUUAGAUUGUUUUUGGGCUGCAUUAUUAUAACAAGUCUUUAGAUUAUUAUCUUGGGCUUUAACUAUUAUCUUGAGCCUGAAAGUAGUUUAAUAAUAAAUUAUUAAUUUUUCUCCCAAUAUUAAGGUUUAUAUUUUCUUUUAAUUUUUAAUUAUUUAUAAAUUUAGUGGUAAUUAUAUUUAUUAAAUUACUAAUUAUGUAUUAAGAGUUUAUUGAUUCACUUAUAGAGAUUUUUAAUUCGGGCAAAAUGUAUCAAUAGUUAGCAAUCCUUACUUUACUUAGAAAUUAGGAUGACACCUCGAGACCUAUUUAGAAUAGAUUCUUGUAGGUUCGAGUAACCAAGGGC